ACGGGUGAGUAAUGUCUGGGAAACUGCCUGAUGGAGGGGGAUAACUACUGGAAACGGUAGCUAAUACCGCAUGACGUCUUCGGACCAAAGUGGGGGACCUUCGGGCCUCACGCCAUCAGAUGUGCCCAGAUGGGAUUAGCUAGUAGGUGGGGUAAUGGCUCACCUAGGCGACGAUCUCUAGCUGGUCUGAGAGGAUGACCAGCCACACUGGAACUGAGACACGGUCCAGACUCCUACGGGAGGCAGCAGUGGGGAAUAUUGCACAAUGGGCGCAAGCCUGAUGCAGCCAUGCCGCGUGUAUGAAGAAGGCCUUCGGGUUGUAAAGUACUUUCAGCGAGGAGGAAGGCAUUGUGGUUAAUAACCGCAGUGAUUGACGUUACUCGCAGAAGAAGCACCGGCUAACUCCGUGCCAGCAGCCGCGGUAAUACGGAGGGUGCAAGCGUUAAUCGGAAUUACUGGGCGUAAAGCGCACGCAGGCGGUUUGUUAAGUCAGAUGUGAAAUCCCCGAGCUUAACUUGGGAACUGCAUUUGAAACUGGCAAGCUAGAGUCUUGUAGAGGGGGGUAGAAUUCCAGGUGUA
rnacentral:rRNA from 1 species